rnacentral:piRNA from 1 species
UGAAGGGUCAGUAAUUUUCAAAAAUGUC